rnacentral:rRNA from 1 species
UACGGAGGGUGCAAGCGUUAUCCGGAUUCACUGGGUUUAAAGGGUGCGUAGGUGGGCUAGUAAGUCAGUGGUGGAAUCUCCGGGCUUAACCCGGAAACUGCCAUUGAUACUAUCAGUCUUGAAUACCGUGGAGAUGAGCGGAAUAUGUCAUGUAGCGGUGAAAUGCUUAGAUAUGACAUAGAACACCAAUUGCGAAGGCAGCUCGUUACACGAAUAUUGACACUCAGGCACGAAAGCGUGGGGAUCAAACAGG